rnacentral:rRNA from 1 species
AAUGAACGUUGGCGGCGUGGAUUAGGCAUGCAAGUCGAGCGCGGUGAGUUUGGUAGCUUGCUAUUGAACUCGGAAAGCGGCGAAAGGGAGAGUAACGCGUAGUUACGUGCCCCAGGGUUCGGAAUAGCCACGGGAAACUGUGGGUAAUGCCGAAUAACAUCGCCGGAUCAAAGGUGUGAUUCCGCCCUGGGAGCGGACUGCGACCUACUAGCUAGUUGGCGGGGUAAUGGCCCAGCAAGGCAAAAAUGGGUAGCGGGUGUGAGAGCAUGACCCGUCUCACUGGGACUGAGACACUGCCCAGACACCUACGGGUGGCUGCAGUCGAGAAUCUUCGGCAAUGGGCGAAAGCCUGACCGAGCGACGCCGCGUGCGGGAUGAAGGCCCUCGGGUUGUAACCCGCUGUCGUAGGGGAGGAAGGCUCUGUGAAGAACAGGGUUUGACCUAUCCUAGGAGGAAGUACGGGCUAAGUUCGUGCCAACCGCCGCAGUAA